UGGAGGGUCUCGAGCCCACGAAACCCGAAGCUGGGCCUCCAGGACUGCGUUCCCGGUGAGUUAGGGAAACCCGUGCCCACCCAAGGGAAGACUCUCCACCUUGAGAUCCCUCAGGACUCCCACAGCCCGGAGGGAGGUUCCCGCUCCUGCUGGAGGUUUGCUCCCAGGACAAAACACCUAAGUCAGCUUUUACCCACAGGCUGCUCCAUCCACAUCCCCCGCCCCCGGCCCACGGGGGGCUGUGCCCAGUGGAUGCUGUUAUUGUCAUAAUUCAGAAAGUUUGGGGAAGGACCGUCAUUAGCUUCUGCCACAUAGGCUAAUUUAGUUAUAAUAAUAUGAACAAAUUGCCCGUAUGUGGUGAUUGGUGCAUUUUUGCCAAAUUUUUUUUAGCAUUUGGAAACAACAAGAAUAGUCACCUGGGCUUUCAUCAUUUAAUCUCCUAAAAUUUGCCAUUUUCAACAAUUAUACUAUUCUAAUGAUUGUGCUACUAUGGUCCGGUUGGUGGUACUGAAAUGUGUGAAAUAAAUCAUGGGGCAGAAAAGCAGCCGCAUUGGGGAACUGUUUCCCAGAAGCCUUUUCAGUCGGGUGUCAAAAACGCGGGUCAUUUGGAUGACUGCAUUUUCUAUUACUGGGCAGAAAUUGUUUUAAAAAUAUUUUUCCUACGACAUUGUAGCAGCUAUUGUUGAAAACACCCUGUUUCUCAUGGAAGCCUCACCUGGAGCGGCUGCACCCCCGUGAGUCCGCCUCGUCUCCCACCUCUCCUUGGCCCUUGCUCUCACUUUCCUCUCACCGCCGGAGACUGAAGCUCUGCAAGCCGGCGCCUCCUCUUCAUCGUGAAGACCCCAGACACGGCUCCCUUUUGUGUACUUCACGAAAACGGAAGACCGGACGGCCCUUCCUGGGUCCUGGUAGGGCCCGUGCCAGACAGGAGCCCAAGCGCCCACGUCAGCCCAAGUUCCCCUGCAUUUCUGAGCUCUUGAAGCCAAGGUACGAAUGUUUGCCUUCAUUUCUUCCACGGAAAACAUUUGGACGGUUAGGAAAUCGACACUCAGGUCUGCGAAAGGAUUUGUGCAAAUCACUGAGCUAACUCACAGCAGACGUAAGACAGGAUUCCAGAUCUCUGCUAUUUGCUAUGGCUACGAAGAAAAAAUUCUCUCCCAAGAACAGCUUGCUCAGAAAGAGGAAUGAAACCAACUGGAGAGACAGGCAUUAGUGACUGUCAUUUCACCACCCUACAUGUGAACCACCCUGCGUACGGUCCCAUGAAUGGCACCCAGCACGCUCCCGGACGAAGAAGACAGGUGACGUCACCACGGCCCUCUCAUGACUCAGCUCUUCCCUCAUUCU